rnacentral:ncRNA from 1 species
GGUCCUCACUAAAGCAGUGUCUAGGAAAGACUACGCUAAGGUGGGGGAAGGCUCAUCUCAGGGUGUGGCCAUGCCUUCCACUUCUGGUGCCGGGCGUCGGUCCGCCAGAGCGCAGCACAUUGCGGUGCCGCUCGGGGCUGAUGACCUGGGGACGA